AGUCGAUAUGGCCGAGUUGGUCUAAGGCACCAUACUAAGGGUUCUGACCCGAAAGGGCGUGGGUUCGAACCCCGCUGUCAACACC